rnacentral:rRNA from 1 species
UGUGUGUUAGUGGAAGCGUCUGGAAAGGCGCGCGAUACAGGGUGACAGCCCCGUACACAAAAAUGCACAUAUUGUGAGCUCGAUGAGUAGGGCGGGACACGUGGUAUCCUGUCUGAAUAUGGGGGGACCAUCCUCCAAGGCUAAAUACUCCUGACUGACCGAUAGUGAACCAGUACCGUGAGGGAAAGGCGAAAAGAACCCCGGCGAGGGGAGUGAAAAAGAACCUGAAACCGUGUACGUACAAGCAGUGGGAGCCUCUUAAUGGGGUGACUGCGUACCUUUUGUAUAAUGGGUCAGCGACUUAUAUUCUGUAGCAAGGUUAACCGAAUAGGGGAGCCGAAGGGAAACCGAGUCUUAACUGGGCGUUAAGUUGCAGGGUAUAGACCCGAAACCCGGUGAUCUAGCCAUGGGCAGGUUGAAGGUUGGGUAACACUAACUGGAGGACCGAACCGACUAAUGUUGAAAAAUUAGCGGAUGACUUGUGGCUGGGGGUGAAAGGCCAAUCAAACCGGGAGAUAGCUGGUUCUCCCCGAAAGCUAUUUAGGUAGCGCCUCGUGAAUUCAUCUCCGGGGGUAGAGCACUGUUUCGGCAAGGGGGUCAUCCCGACUUACCAACCCGAUGCAAACUGCGAAUACCGGAGAAUGUUAUCACGGGAGACACACGGCGGGUGCUAACGUCCGUCGUGAAGAGGGAAACAACCCAGACCGCCAGCUAAGGUCCCAAAGUCAUGGUUAAGUGGGAAACGAUGUGGGAAGGCCCAGACAGCCAGGAUGUUGGCUUAGAAGCAGCCAUCAUUUAAAGAAAGCGUAAUAGCUCACUGGUCGAGUCGGCCUGCGCGGAAGAUGUAACGGGGCUAAACCAUGCACCGAAGCUGCGGCAGCGACACUAUGUGUUGUUGGGUAGGGGAGCGUUCUGUAAGCCUGUGAAGGUGGCCUGUGAGGGUUGCUGGAGGUAUCAGAAGUGCGAAUGCUGACAUAAGUAACGAUAAAGCGGGUGAAAAGCCCGCUCGCCGGAAGACCAAGGGUUCCUGUCCAACGUUAAUCGGGGCAGGGUGAGUCGACCCCUAAGGCGAGGCCGAAAGGCGUAGUCGAUGGGAAACAGGUUAAUAUUCCUGUACUUGGUGUUACUGCGAAGGGGGGACGGAGAAGGCUAUGUUGGCCGGGCGACGGUUGUCCCGGUUUAAGCGUGUAGGCUGGUUUUCCAGGCAAAUCCGGAAAAUCAAGGCUGAGGCGUGAUGACGAGGCACUACGGUGCUGAAGCGACAAAUGCCCUGCUUCCAGGAAAAGCCUCUAAGCAUCAGGUAACAUCAAAUCGUACCCCAAACCGACACAGGUGGUCAGGUAGAGAAUACCAAGGCGCUUGAGAGAACUCGGGUGAAGGAACUAGGCAAAAUGGUGCCGUAACUUCGGGAGAAGGCACGCUGAUAUGUAGGUGAAGCGACUUGCUCGUGGAGCUGAAAUCAGUCGAAGAUACCAGCUGGCUGCAACUGUUUAUUAAAAACACAGCACUGUGCAAACACGAAAGUGGACGUAUACGGUGUGACGCCUGCCCGGUGCCGGAAGGUUAAUUGAUGGGGUUAGCGGUAACGCGAAGCUCUUGAUCGAAGCCCCGGUAAACGGCGGCCGUAACUAUAACGGUCCUAAGGUAGCGAAAUUCCUUGUCGGGUAAGUUCCGACCUGCACGAAUGGCGUAAUGAUGGCCAGGCUGUCUCCACCCGAGACUCAGUGAAAUUGAACUCGCUGUGAAGAUGCAGUGUACCCGCGGCAAGACGGAAAGACCCCGUGAACCUUUACUAUAGCUUGACACUGAACAUUGAGCCUUGAUGUGUAGGAUAGGUGGGAGGCUUUGAAGUGUGGACGCCAGUCUGCAUGGAGCCGACCUUGAAAUACCACCCUUUAAUGUUUGAUGUUCUAACGUGGGCCCCUUACCGGGGUUGCGGACAGUGUCUGGUGGGUAGUUUGACUGGGGCGGUCUCCUCCUAAAGAGUAACGGAGGAGCACGAAGGUUGGCUAAUCCUGGUCGGACAUCAGGAGGUUAGUGCAAUGGCAUAAGCCAGCUUGACUGCGAGCGUGACGGCGCGAGCAGGUGCGAAAGCAGGUCAUAGUGAUCCGGUGGUUCUGAAUGGAAGGGCCAUCGCUCAACGGAUAAAAGGUACUCCGGGGAUAACAGGCUGAUACCGCCCAAGAGUUCAUAUCGACGGCGGUGUUUGGCACCUCGAUGUCGGCUCAUCACAUCCUGGGGCUGAAGUAGGUCCCAAGGGUAUGGCUGUUCGCCAUUUAAAGUGGUACGCGAGCUGGGUUUAGAACGUCGUGAGACAGUUCGGUCCCUAUCUGCCGUGGGCGCUGGAGAACUGAGGGGGGCUGCUCCUAGUACGAGAGGACCGGAGUGGACGCAUCACUGGUGUUCGGGUUGUCAUGCCAAUGGCACUGCCCGGUAGCUAAAUGCGGAAGAGAUAAGUGCUGAAAGCAUCUAAGCACGAAACUUGCCCCGAGAUGAGUUCUCCCUGACUCCUUGAGAGUCCUGAAGGAACGUUGAAGACGACGACGUUGAUAGGCCGGGUGUGUAAGCGCAGCGAUGCGUUGAGCUAACCGGUACUAAUGAACCGUGAGGCUUAACCUUACAACGCCGAAG